rnacentral:piRNA from 1 species
UAUUGACUUCCCAGAUGGACACACAG